rnacentral:rRNA from 1 species
GAUGAACGCUGGCGGCGUGCCUAAUACAUGCAAGUCGAGCGAACGGACGAGAAGCUUGCUUUUCUGAUGUUAGCGGCGGACGGGUGAGUAACACGUGGAUAACCUACCUAUAAGACUGGGAUAACUUCGGGAAACCGGAGCUAAUACCGGAUAAUAUUUUGAACCGCAUGGUUCAAAAGUGAAAGACGGUCUUGCUGUCACUUAUAGAUGGAUCCGCGCUGCAUUAGCUAGUUGGUAAGGUAACGGCUUACCAAGGCAACGAUGCAUAGCCGACCUGAGAGGGUGAUCGGCCACACUGGAACUGAGACACGGUCCAGACUCCUACGGGAGGCAGCAGUAGGGAAUCUUCCGCAAUGGGCGAAAGCCUGACGGAGCAACGCCGCGUGAGUGAUGAAGGUCUUCGGGUCGUAAAGCUCUGUUAUUAGGGAAGAACAUAUGUGUAAGUAACUGUGCACAUCUUGACGGUACCUAAUCAGAAAGCCCCGGCUAACUACGUG